rnacentral:ncRNA from 1 species
CGACGCCGUGCGGGAGAGUUCCGGGCCUCGAGGAGUCAUCCGAGGGGAACGGGCGCCGAAGGAGCAGCACCUCCCCGUCAAUCUCUCAGGCACACAGGACCGUGCGGGCUCC